UUUCCCUUUGCAGCACCUUGGGCAUGGUAGUUCCGAGAUCAUUCCAGACUCAGGUAGAGCGAGAGAGGCCUCCUGCCGUGGGGGACGGGACCCUGCAGCGGCGACGAGGAGGGAAGCUGAGAGACCGAGAGAACAAAGAGUGCUUCUUCCUUCCGCCUCAGCGCCCUGGCCUCUAGAGGGCGCUGCCUCGCGCAGCCCGCCCUUUUCCCUCACAGAAGCCGAGCCUCGCUGGAGCCUGGCUCAGGUGCAGGAGGACGAGGAGGAGGGCGACGGCGGCGGAGAAGGAGCCCCUCAGGAUGUUCUCGCGGAGGGGCCACGCCGAUGUCAAGAAGUCCGCCCAGAAGGCGCUGGACCCGCGGAAGGAUGUCCUCACUCGCCUCAAGCACCUCAGGGCGCUCAUGGAUGCUGUGGAUGGAAGUGAACUUAAACAUUUUUUUGAGAUUAACUAUUCUCAGAUUUAUUUUAUCUUCUAUGAAAAUUUCAUAACACUGGAAAGUAACUUGAAACAAAAAGGGAAUAAAUCUCAAAGGGAGGAGCUGGACUCCAUUCUCUUUCUUUUUGAAAGAAUAUUACAACUGCUACCAGAAAGGAUUUUCUAUCGGUGGCAUUUCCACAGCAUAGGAUCCGUGUUAAAGAAACUUUUGCACACUGGAAACUCUCUUAAGAUAAGAUGUGAAGGAAUCCGGUUAUUUCUUCUAUGGCUGCAAGCGCUCCAGACCAAUUGCUCUGAGGAGCAGCUGCUAAUUUUUGCUUGCCUUGUGCCUGGUUUUCCUGCAGUGAUGUCUUCAAAAGGUCCAUGUACACUGGAUACUAUCAUUAGCUCUCCUUCCAGUCUUCCAGAUGCAAAGAUUUUUCCAGAGGAAAUAACACCACUUUUACCACAUGCCUCUGGUGAAAAGAGUACUGACGACCCAACUUGCUCCUUCCUUCAAAUACUGUUAAAAUAUAUGGUCAUCCAAGCUGCAAGCUUGGAAUGGAAGAAUAAAGAGAAUCAUGAUACUGGGUUUAAGUUCCUUUUUGCCUUGUUCAGAAAAUAUUAUCUUCCUCAUUUAUUUCCCAGUUUUACAAAACUAACAAAUCUCUACAAACCUGUGCUUGACAUCCCUGGUCUGCGACCUAAGCCAUCAUAUGUUAGUGCAACUUGUAAUAAUGAAAACGUUUAUAGCACAAAAAUACCAUACAUGACUGCUCGUGUUGUUUUUAUUAAAUGGAUUGUAAACUUUUUUCUGGAAAAAAAGUAUUUUAUACCAACACAGAAUUCUAAAAAUGGAGGGGAUGUUUUGCCCAGAAUCAUUCAAACUGUGGGUGGUGCAGUGCAAGAUAAAAAUCCUGAGCCAGAGAACAGUGUUCCACCAGAUCAAGAGAAAAGCCAUUCAAACAACAACACUCUCUCUGAACGGAGGCUCAGUGAUUCUAGCUUUUGCAGCAUUGAGGAGCAACAUCGGGCAGUGUAUGAGAUGGUGCAGCAGAUCUUUCUGUCCACACGAGGUUAUGUAAAUUUUGUCAAUGAAGUAUUUCGACAGGCUUUUUUACUGCCUUCAUCAGAGAUAUCUUCAUCUGAAAAGGUAGUGAAAGUAUACAGGAAGUGGAUACUGCAAGAGAAGCCGGCAUUCAUGGAAGAACCGGAUAUGAAGGAAGUUGUUCAAGAUGAUGAUGGCAUCACAGAUAAUUCAACAACCGAGUCAGACGGCAAACAUCUUUCAUCUGGCCACUCAGGACAUAAACGAUCCUCCAGUUGGGGUAGGACGUACUCCUUCUCUAGUGCUGUUAACAGAGGAUGUAUAUUAGAAGAUGAAAACAAGAACAUUAAAGCAGGUCUUCAAGCUGCCCUACAGGUAUUCUUAACAAACGCUGCUAAUGUAUUUUUAUUGGAACCAUGUACUGAGAUACCGGAACUUCUGAAGGAGCAAAUCGGGGCAUGCAGAGCAGUUUUGAGUAUAUUCAGGCGCAUGAUUAUGGAACUUCCAAUGAAUCAAAAAACAUGGGAACAAAUGUUGCAAAUUCUUCUCAGGAUAACAGAAGCUGUUAUGAGCAAAUCAAAAGAUAACCAAAUGCAAGACACAUUUGCUCAAAGUUUAGCAAGUGUACUAUUCCGGACUCUCAUUGUGGCCUGGAUCCGAGCUAAUCUAAGUGUCUAUAUUUCUCGAGAACUCUGGGAUGAACUCCUGCGGGUGCUGUCCUCUCUUACGGAUUGGAGAGAGCUAAUCGCAGAGUGGGCUAACAUCAUGGACUCCCUGACAUCUGUCUUGGCCAGAACUGUGUAUGGUGUUGACAUGACCAAUUUGCCUUUGGAUAAGCUAAGUGAACAAAAGGAGAAAAUACAAAGAGGAAAAUGUGGCAUUUUGGAACCUCAAAAGGGAGCUUCAGUUGGAAGAUCGUUUUCUUUAAGCUGGAGAAAUCAUCCUGAAGUUGUGGAACCAAUGAGGUUUAGGAGUGCUACUACUUCGGGAGUACCAGGAGUUGAGAAAGCAAGGAAUAUAGUGCGUCAGAGAGCAACAGCUAAGCGAAGCCAAUCUAUCAGCAACUGUGCUCAUCUCUGUGAGGCUUUGCCAGCCACUAAAAGUGUACCUCUUCUCCUUCACACUGUGAGCUCUCUCUUACCUGGUAUCUCUUACACUUCUUACUCUCACACGCUUUCAGAAGCUGAAGAAUAUCAGCAGUCAGAAAACGGAGCAGGAACAGAAUACAGCCAAUCUGGAACUGUAUCAAGAACAGAAAGUAAUAGUCUGUUUUCAGACCAGGAACAAUUAACACGAAGUAGCAGUACCUCCGAUAUUAGAGACCAAUGCAAUUCUCUUUUUCAUGUUAGAAAAACGGAAAGUUCACAGAACUUAAAUUCAGAUUCCAACUCUGCUGAAGAAACUAAGGGGGUCAUGAACAAAGAAAAUACGGAGGAAGAGACAAACCACAUUCCAGCUGAAUCAUAUCUGAAAGUAGACAUGCAGCAAUCGCCUGGAAGUCAGAGAGAAAGAGAGAAAAGUGAAAGUGUCAGUAGUGAUACCUCCCUAGGAUACAGUAAUGAAGUAGACAUUACUAUGGCUCCCUGGCAAUCGUGCGAAGAAAACCAUGAUGUCAACAUUCCAUCUGAGAUUUCGGGGGAUCCAGAUGCAUGCCACUGGUUGCACUUGAAUCCUUCAGAUGCCACCAAUUUAACAGACAGCAGUGAGUUCCUUGCUGAUGACUGCAGUAUAAUUGCUGGUGGAAAUCUCAUAGGCUGGCAUCCAGACUCUGCUUCCGUAUUAUGGCGAAGAAUAUUGGGGAUUCUUGGAGAUGUAAAUAAUAUCAAGUCUCCUAAAAUACAUGCCAUGGUUUUUGAGUUUCUCUAUGAACUGUGGUACAAAUUAGCAAAGAUCAGAGAUAAUCUUGCUAUCAGCCUAGAUAACCAGUCUACUCCUGCGCCACCUAUUUUAAUUCCACCACUCAGGAUAUUUGCAUCUUGGUUAUUCAAGGCUGCAACCUUGCCAGAUGACUACAAAGAAGGGAAACUCCAUUCAUACAAACUGAUAUGUGCUAUGAUGACUAGGCGCCAAGAUUUUGUGCCAAAUCCUGACUUCUUAGUGCAUUUUUAUCUUGUCAUGCACAUUGGCUUAAACAGUAAAGAUCAGGAUAUUUUGAAUACGAUCAUAAGGCACUGCUCUCCCUGCUUUUUCUUCUUGAGCUUGCCUGGCUUCACAUUGUUAAUCGGAGACUUCGUAAGAGCUGCAGCCACCGUCCUGAGUACAAACAUGUUGGAGGCACCCCGCUUAGAAGCACAUACCAUUCUUGGUUCUUUGAUUUGCUUUCCUAAUCUUUACCAAGAAAUUUCAUUGUUACAACCCAUUCUGGGAGCAGAAGUGAUUCCAGAAACAGUGGAUGUCAAAUGUUUCCUCAUAAGUACCCUUCUGAAGAAUGCCAUAGAUGAACCUAGUGAAGCUUCAAGGUGCUUAGCUGUGUGCUGUCUUGGACUUUGGAUAUGUGAAGAACUGGUGCAAUGUACAAACCAUCCCCAAGUAAAGGAUGCAAUAAAUGUUUUAGGUGUGACACUAAAGUUUUCUAACAAGCAGAUUGCACAGGAAGCAUGUGAUGUCUUUCAAUUGCUUGCAUCUUAUUGGGAAAAACUACAGUUGUACAAAUCUUGUCUACCCAUAAAAAUUAUUGAAAUCCUUGUUGCCACCAUUACAUUUCUCUUGCCAAGUGCAGAGUACUCCUCUGUGGAAAGUGAUAAAAAGUUUAUAGUUUCGUUAUUGCUUUGCUUGCUGGAUUGGUGCAUGGCAUUACCAGUGAAAAUGCUGCUGGAACCUGUUCUUAUUUCAAUGCUGGAAGAUCAACAUUCUUCUAAAGCCCCUUUGCUUGAUUACAUUUAUAGGGUCCUACACAGUUGCGUCCAUGGUUCAAACACUUACACGCAGCAAAGCCAUUACCUUUUAAGCCUUGCAGACCUCUCUAGCGAUGUCUACGAUCCAUUUUUGCCAUUAGCAAGUGUCAGGAAUUCUGAACCUAUCCAGUUUCAGUCUUCAGAAGAUCUCAAUAAUUUACUCACCGUUGCUGAAGAAAGGAGGAGGAGGAGCUUGGAGUUAAUACCUUUGACUGCACGGAUGAUUAUGGCACACCUAGUAAACCAUUUGGGCCACUAUCCCUUGAAUGGAGGGCCUGCCGUUCUUCACAGCCUUAUUAGUGAAAACCACAACAACUCGUAUGUGGAAUCCUCUGAACUGUCUUCUGAAGUCUUCAGGAGCCCAAACCUACAGCUUUUUGUAUUUAAUGAUAGUACUCUCAUAUCUUAUCUUCAAAUUCCUUCAGAAAGAAGGGACGAUGAUGAACCACCAGGAACUCUAUCUGAAGUUAGAGUAAUUGUAAGAGAUAUCUCAGGGAAAUACUCAUGGGAUGGAAAACUGAUGCAUGGACCACUAGCUGGUUGUCCACCAAAUCCAAAUAAAAGGAAAUCUACUGCAUUUUUUAACAAUCAUAAACAGAACUUUGAGUCUCAAGUUGAUUUUAUUGAAAUAUAUGAAGGAGAUGAUGAUGUUCUUGAUAAAUUGCUUGAGAGGAUUGGCAAUAGUAGUCCUGAGUGCCUUCUUCGUCCACAAGUAAAAUUAAAUGAGCCAUCAGCAUCACCAUGUGUCAUGAGCAGUGAACAAGAGAAUGAUAUUCUAGAAGCAAUAAUAAAACAGAAUGGCACAGAAAAUGAAUAUGCACAUGGAUGCAGUUUGAAUCCUAGCAUGAAGGCUGAAUUUCAGAAAGCACCAAAACCUGUUCAGCUCCAAGCACCAUUUCACUUAUGUAAGCUUUUGCUAAAUGACUUAGGGAUGAAUUCUUGGGAUAAAAGGAAAAGUUUUCAUCUACUGAAAAAAAAUUCUAAAUUGUUGAGAGAACUGAAAAAUUUGGAUUCCAGACAAUGCCGUGAAACCCAUAAGAUUGCUGUAUUUUACAUUGCUGAAGGACAAGAAGAUAAAUGUUCAAUAUUGUCCAAUCCGAAAGGAAGUCAAGCAUAUGAAGAUUUUGUUGCUGGAUUAGGCUGGGAGGUUGAUCUUUCAACUCACUGUGGAUUUAUGGGUGGCCUCCAACGUAAUGGCAGCACAGGACAAACAGCACCAUAUUAUGCCACUUCUACUGUGGAAGUGAUUUUUCAUGUUUCUACUCGCAUGCCCUCUGAUUCAGAUGAUUCACUGACCAAAAAGCUUCGUCAUUUGGGAAAUGAUGAAAUUCAUGUUGUCUGGUCUGAACACACCAGGAAUUAUCGCAGAGGCAUUAUACCAACAGAUUUUGGAGAUGUUUUAAUUAUUAUUUAUCCAAUGAAGAAUCAUAUGUUUUUUAUAGAAAUCAUGAAGAAACCAGAGGUACCCUUUUUUGGUCCGUUGUUUGAUGGCGCAAUCGUGACUGCAAAACUGCUGCCAAAUCUUAUACGAGCCACAUGCAUCAAUGCCAGCAGAGCAGUGAAGUCCCUUAUAACUCUCUAUCAAAGCUUGUAUCCUUUUCCAAUAGUAAUUUGAUUUGUUUCUAGGAUGGCUGUUCUCCUUUGAGGUAUGUUUUCAAAAGUAGUAUUUGACAUUGUAAACGAUUCUUUAGUCUAAAAAUGCAAUUUUUCUUUUUAAAAAUAGCAUAUUUAGAUUCCUUCCUACUUAGUUUAAACUGAUUGAUUUGAUGCAUAAAGGAUGAACAAUGCUAGACCACAAAGAUGCAUUCAGGAUUACAAGAUACUCCUUUAAACUAGAAGGUGAGUAUGCAUAGUGAUACUUACGUACGUACUUACAUUGUCCGAGUAUGAUGGUCCUCUAUGUGUAGUGGUUAUUAUAGAGAAAGAGAGCUUUUGAGAUUCUCGGAAUGUUGGUGUAGGGUUCACAUAACUUAAUUACAUUAUUACUAUAUACUGUGUAUUUUAUGUGCUGCAUUGGAGUGCUUUGUAAGCCGCCCGAGUCGUUUCGGGAAGAUGGUGGCGGGUAUAAAUAAAGUUUUUAUUGUUGUUGUUGUUGUUGUUGUUGUUAUGAAUAAUAUAAUUUAUACAUUAGUUGAUUUUAUAUUGAGAAGGCAAGCUAUCAGAGUUCCAUGAAACUGUUUUCUCCACCCUUCACUGUGACAGCCCUUUCUGUUGCUUGAAAAACUAUUCUAGGGGCCUUUCCAGACCUCCAGAGCAAGUUUUUUGCGAAGAGGAGAAUAAGCCUUUCCAGCUCCACUGAAAAAGGCCAUUAUUGGAUCUUUGUCUAUAUGUUUAAUGUAGAUAGAGUUGGUCAAUAAAAAGCCAAUGGACUUAAAACAUGAUAAAGAGUUCUUAUUCCCCCUAUAAUUAUUUGAAUCCUAUGGGCCAUAAAAGGCCUGAAAGAAGGUGGUACAGCUUACUAUCUGUUGCACAACUUACUAGCCAUGCAUUGUGGUCUCAAGAGUGACUCAUAACUCACUUUUCAGCUGAGGACAAUAUCUGUAGAUUUUGUUUUUUUUGCAUAAUUUGAAACAUUUUAUAUUUUUCUUCGUGUACUCUGUGAAUGCACACUAAUGGAGAGACUGUGCCUGCGCGGGAUCCAACGAAAAUUCUUCCAAGCUAAAGUUUGAAAUUUGGCGGUAACCCCGCCCCUCUCCCCAGAGGGCAUAAAAGGCCACCCUGAGCGCUCACUCCCCAGUUCCUUUUUUUCCGCCGCAAAGCUCACAUCGGACUCUUCGUUCCUUCUUAUGUCGACUACGCACUUUAAGCGGUGCACUCAAUGAGCCACUAAGAUUCUGGAUUCCGACGGCCACGCCAAGUGUCUCCUCUGCCUGGGCGAGAGCCACGUCGUCGGUACCUGCCGGAUCUGCCUGGCCUUUACGGCCCAAGCAAGGAGAAACAGGGCUGCUAGACUUCGAGCAGCCCUCUAUGAAAGAUCACUUGCUCCUGAGUCGGCUACCUCCGCAUCGACCUCGAUGGCAGCAAGACCUACAAAACCCACAUCGGUCUCCUCUAAAACUUCAAAAAGCUCAAAGGGAAGACCCUCGAAACCGCCUUGCACGGUUACUGUGGCCACUCGAUGGCAGCAAGACCUACAAAACCCACAUCGGUCUCCUCUAAAACUUCAAAAAGCUCGAAGGGAAGACCCUCGAAACCGCCUUGCACGGUUACUGUGGCCACUGUGUCGACCCGGUCCAGAAAGGUGGGCCCGUUGUCGAACUCAAGCUCCCUGGCCUCGGUAGUCUCCCCAUAUCGCUUCACCGCUGUCGUCUUCUGCAAUGAAGAUUGCCUUCAAAAGGGCUCAGGAAGAAUCCCAUCGAGCCCAGUCCGACUCGGCAGCAAUCUGCCCUAUUCUACCAACCCCAGAGUUCCGUCCAAACAUCCAUCGGCAAAUAGACGCAUGACCCAACGUUCAUCCUCCUCCGCUUCUUCAAAGAAAGAUGUUCCCUCUUCAUCGGCCUCCUCCUCGAGGAGAUCCUCUCCGAUCCAACCGGUACAGCACCCACGAUCUCCUUCCCGGUCCCCACCUAUCCGUUCUUCUGAUGGGGUGCACUGAAGUUUCACCCGAUCGCUCGACCCGCACAGUGAUGAGGGUCCCUCAGCCUGUACCUUCACGUCAACAGGCUCAACAAAAACUUUUUCCUCCUCCUCAGACCCUCCGAAAGGGGAAGACAGACGACUCACCUUGCUCGAGCUGUUCAGGCCUCCGCCUCUAAGGACCAUCAGCCACAGACUUCUGCUGCUCUUGAGGCGAUACCUCCUCCAGAGACUGUGCUUUCCUCUCCCCCUCAAGGAGCCGAGGAGGAUGAGCUCGACGUCGAGCACCCGGAAUCGAUUCAGUCGGCAUCGGUUGUCUCCUUGGGACUCAACCUGUCCCCACCCCAUGAUGCUUACGAAGUCGAUCUGCCAUCUCCCACAGGCAACAUUUGGGCUUUCUCCGACCAAAUGGCCAGAAUGGCGGACGCCCUGGGGAUGGAGAUUAAACAAACUUCGAAAGCCGUCACCGACCCCUUAUUCAAGAGGGUCCAGGCUCAAGCUCCCCAGCCACACUCCUACCUUUCCUUCCUUAUCUACUGGACGUCAUCCAGGCCUCCUGGAAGACCCCGUCUUUGAUACCUCCAACCUCUAAAAAGAUCGAGGCAUAGUAUCGUACGGACGAUGAAGCCCUAGAGUGGCUCAAGCAUCACCCCGACCCAAACCCGAUGGUGGUUAAAGCCUCCCAAUCUUCGGGCUGACAGUCUAAGUCUCCGGCCGACAGAGAAGGAAAGAGAUUUGACGCAGUGGGCUGAAAAUUAUAUUCCAGCGCGCUUCUUUUGUGUCGAAUGGCAAAUUACGGGGCCUGCAUGGGGACAUAUCAACAGAUUCUCUGGGAAAAGGCCCAGCCCUUUUUCACCAAACUCUCUAAUGAAGACUGUUCCGUCCUCUCGACCCUCCAGCAGGAGGCGGACUCCCUAGCUCACCAUCAGAUUCAGAUGGCAAAGCAUACAGGCGAUACUGCUGGCAAAAUGAUCACUCAUGCUGUGGCAAUCAGACGACACGCUUGGCUGCGAUCCUCUGGCCUCUCCUCGUCUUCUCGACAAGUAAUUGAAGACCUGCCUUUUGAUGCCCUCGGCCUAUUUAUCACGGGGACUGAUGAUAAAUUGAAAUCAAAUCAUGAUUUCAGAAUCCUCGCAUCUAAGUGCGGGACCGACCAGCCUCACGCCCAACGAACCCAUUGGUUUCCCCAGAGGUACUGUCGCUUCCCUCCUCAGCCUUUCUGCCACCAAACCUUCAGGCGCUCCUCCAGCUCCAGCCAACAAGGCCAGCAACAACAGCCCCGCCGUCAACACCAGGCCUCUAAGGCUAGAGGUCGAGGUACCGCCACUACUCCCCGUACCCAGCGUUGAGCCUGACACCCAGUCUCUCAGUACCGCCUCCACAUUCAAUACUGCUGCCGCCGCCAUGCCUCUUGCGAACCUCGGUCCAAAACUUCCCCCCUGCCACUUCCGGGACCAGCUCCCUUCUACCACGAAUGGGCGUCUAUCACCUCGGAUGCCUGGGUUCUCUGCAUUGUCUGAGAUGGUUACACCUUGGAGUUUGAAAGCCUUCCUCCCACAGGCCACGUCCUCUCCACCGACCCAUCGCCGGAAAUCUGCACCGAGGUCGACUCCGUCCUAGCCAAGGGUGCCAUCCAACCGUCUCCGUCUGAGCAGGACAUUCGAGGUUUUUUCUCAAGAUACUUCACUGUUCCCAAAAAGGGUGGAGGGCUUCGCCCCAUCCUGGACUUACGAGCUCUAAACCUUUUCAUUCUCCCCUCAAAGUUCUGUAUGGUCUCUGUCGCCUCCAUCCUUCCGAUGCUCCAACGAGAUUAUUUCGACUCUAUAGACUUAAGGGACGCCUAUUUCCACGUAGCGAUACGUUGCUCCCACAGACGCUUCCUCUCUUUCAAAAUUCUCGGUCAAUCUUACCAGUUUGCAGUCCUCCCUUUCGGCCUUGUCACCGCCCCUCGAGUCUUCACCAAGGUGGUCGCAGUACUGGCAGCUCACCUGAGGAAACAAGGCAUUAUGGUCUUUCCUUACCUGGACGAUUGGAUGAUUGUCGCUCCCGAUCCAUCAUCCUUACAGAACCAUGUUUCCCGCACUUUGUCCCUGCUCCGCUUGCUCGGACUUCAGCUGAACACCAAGAAGUCACAUCUAACCCCCUCCAACAAGAUAUGCUUCAUCGGGGCUCUCUUCAACUCUCUCACACAAACAGCCUUCCUACCGCCAGACAGAUUCCUGGCCCUCCAACAACACCUGCUACUUCUCCUGCACAACCGCAGGGUCCGAGCCCGCUCCGUUCAAGUCCUCCUAGGCCACAUGGCCUCCACUGUCAUGGUCACUCCUUUCGCUGGGCUUCGUCUCAGACCUCUCCAGAGAUGGUUUAUAGACUCUUUCAACCCCUUCUGCAUCCCAGCCCCAUGUUUCUCACGGCACUGAACCGGGUCCGUCUUUCUCUUCAAUGGUGGCAGAACCUGACUAACGUCUGCAGGGGCCUGCCUUUGCACCCUCCACUCCCGUCGAUCACAAUCACGACCGACAUGUCUAACUUGGCAUUGGGGAGCCCACAUGGCCGAUCUCACAGUCCGGGAUCUCUGGUCCCCUCAAGAGAGGUCUCAGCACAUAAAUCUUCUGGAACUGUUGGCAAUCUUCAAAGCACUCCGAGCCUUUGCCCGCCUUCUUCCCCACAAGACAGUGCAAAUCCAGACAGACAAUACCGUGGCUAUGUAUUACAUUAACAAACAGGGAUGUACAGGCUCAAGGAAACUGAUGUCCCUCUCGUCAGAAAUCUGGCUAUGGUACAAAGCAAGAGACAUAUCCCUGUCAGCAGUCCACCUGCCAGGCCCCAGAACACCCUGGCGGACUCCCUCAGCAGGAUCGCAACCUCCCCCCACGAGUGAUGUCUCGAUCCCAAAAUCCUGCAUUCUGUCUUCAACGAGUGGGGGUGGCCAACUCUAGAUCUUUUUGCCUCCCCCUCCAACACACACCUUCCCCACUUCGGGGCAAGACUCUCUCCAAAUGCGGCUCCGGGCUGUCUCGGAGACGCUUUUCUCCUGGACUGGUCAGCCGAACCCAUCUAUCUCUUUCCUCCUUUCCCUCUGAUCCCGAGGGUACUAGAGAGACUUCUUCUGAUUCCAGCGUCAGCUAUCCUAAUAGCUCCUGCUUGGCCCCGCCAACCAUGGUACCCAACUCUCCUGCAGAUGUGCGCAGGAACCUUCUGUACCCUCCCAACGGUCCCUCAUCUCCUGACCUCAAAGGAAGGACAGGUUCUCCACCCCGACAUUCCGUCCCUACACUUGACGGCGUGGAGGAUCCUUCCCUGAGCUCCUUCCACCCAGACCUCCAAACAAUCCUCCGGGCGGCCCAUAAGCCAUCCACGUCAAAGGCUUACGCAUAUAAAAUUGCGAAGUUCCAGGCCUUCCUUCGAGAUCAUGCCAUCGAUCCCUCCUCUACAUCGGUCCCACUAGUCCUGGACUUUCUUCUCACUCUUGCGGAACAACAACUGUCUUUAGCCUUGAUGAAGUCCUACCUGGCUGCCCUCUCCUGGCAUUUUCAAUGUCUUGGACAGCCUUCUCUCUUUUCUAGUCACUUUGUCAAGACUUUUCUUCGGGGCUACAACAACCUUUGGCCUCCAGUUCAUCCCCCGGCCCCCGCUUGGAGCCUCGAGCUCGUCCUGUCUCAAUUAACUUCCGUACCGUUUGAGUCAAUGCCUUCCGCCGAUCUUCACCUUCUCUCUUGGAAGGUCACCUUUCUAGUGGCGGUCACCUCUGCCUGAAGACCAUCUGAACUAGCUGCCCUCAGAGUUGAUGAACCCUACCUGCGUUUUCGCCACGACCGGGCUGUUCUUUACCCGGACAUCACCUUCCUCCCCAAGGUGGUGUCUGCUUUCCACCUUAAUCAAGACAUCGUCCUCCCUGCCUUCUUUCCCAACCCGGCCUCCACGCUUGAACAGAGGCUUCACUUUCUCGAUGUAAGAAGGGCCCUCCUUUUCUACAGGGACAAGACUAAGCAUACACGUAAGACUCCUAGACUCUUUGUCGCAUAUGCUGCAGACAAACUUGGGAACCCGAUUUCUCCCCAGAGACUAUCCCAUUGGAUUGCUCACACCAUUGAACUGGCUUAUGAACUGGCUAAGCGCCCUCCGCCUCCGUCGAUCCGCCCACGGUCGACAAGAGGGCUUUCAGCCUCCACUGCCUUCUUGAGGGGCAUUCCCAUCAACUCCAUUUGUCGGGCAGCAAUUUGGUCCACCCCUUCUACCUUUGUGUCCCACUACCAGAUGGACUCUAAGAGCCUCAGAGACUCGGCCUUCACCAGAUCAGUUCUGUCCUCCUGCUUUUCAUAGCAUUUCUUCCCUAUUCAAAGUGAGGUCUACUGCCUUCUUAUGUGUUUCGAGGGUUCACACCACUUUAUUGAAGUGUUUUUCUGCCUCCCUACUGUGCUUAUGUGACACUUACUUGCCCCACAUUUUUUCUUCCUGUAUGGGGCUGUUUGACCUUGUAAUUUGUUCUUUGCCGUUAAAUGCUGAAUUACCUUACCCUCACUGCUGGUACCUCUGGUACGGUUUUUUCCCCGUGCCUUUCUUUCUCAGGGAUAUUGUUGUAACCUAUGUUUCUCUCCCUAAGGGAGGUAUCUAUAACAUGUUAUUUUUGAACUUCUUCCCUGAUACCGAGUAUCAUGGUAUGACGGUAUAUUUUGACCUCUUGAAAAGUCUUUUGUUGUCACUGGGUCGUUUUUUCUCGACCAUUUCCUCUUGCACUUGUUUUUGCACUUUGUGCCUUAAUAAAGCUAUUGUUUUUGGACAUUCAACUCGUUGUCGGGUUUGCUCUGUCCCACCAUUCUAUACCUCAGCUUGCUAGUCUCCAUUAGUGUGCAUUCACAGAGUACACGAAGAAAAAGGACAGGUUGCUUACCUGUAACCAUGUUUCUUCGAGUGUACUCUGUGAAUUCACACAAUCCCACCCUUCCUUCCCCACGUGCAAACCUCUCCCUUUCUCGUCGCCUUUGCAGCACAGGAACUGGGGAGUGAGCGCUCAGGGCAGCCUUUUAUGCCCUCCGGGGAGAGGGGCGGGGUUACCGCCAAAUUUCAAACUUUAGCUUGGAAGAGUGUCCGUUGGAGCCCACACAGGCGCAGUCUCUCCAUUAGUGUGAUUUCACAGAGUACACUCGAAGAAACAUGGUUACAGGUAAGCAACCUGUCCUUAUUAUUUAGCCCCAAAGGGUCACAAGUUAAAUAAUCUUGAUUUCUCUGACUGGUUUCUCAUUCGACCUUGUGGUAUAGUACUUAACUUACAUGUAAAUUGGCUUUAGGAGAAUUUGUCACAGAGAUACAUUAAAAAAUUGAAGGUAGAUAAAUUUUCCAGUAUGUUCCAUUAAAUAAAAUUAUGAGUUUCAUUUGCUUAUUUCGUUAUAGAGGGGGUAUAUGCAUUCCUUAUAUAUACUAGAUAUGUUCCAUUACUGGAAUUUUCAGACUACUUUGUGAGCUGCCAUCAGCCCCAGUACUCAUAGAAAGACAAGUUGUGAAUUAAAUUUUAAAAAGUUUCAUUCAGAAGCAAAGUCUUGCUUGCAAGAAUGAAUUGGCUUUGUAUUCAAUUUGCUUUCAAAAAACAUCCUAUUUAUUAUGCGUUAUUGCAGGUUUUUUCUUUAUAAUUUUUAUUAGAUAUGUUGCGGUUUGUUGAUUUUGUUUAUUUUCUAUAGUUAUGUAAUAUUUUUUGUCUGCGUGUUGUUUGACACUUUGAGUUUUGUUUCGGGAGAAAAGUAGGGUAGAAAUAAAUAAAUAAAUAAAUACUUUAUUGCCUUAAUUUAUCACACAUGCCUAAACAUGAGAUAGGUAAAAGUCUAUGAAACAUUUAGAUGAGAACAUACUACGAGAACUAUUUUUUAGAAAUCUCAUAGGCAGGGGGAAAGCAAAGUGGCAAUUACAAAAUGUAUUUUUGCAGUACAUAACACACUGAAAAACAAAUUGCUGAGGCUAGAAGUUAAACACAUCUUUGAAACCCUAAUUUUCUGCUUCUGCAAUCACCUAUUUUAUAGAAACACAAGCCAGUCGGAAGCGACUGAACGAAUAAACAACGACAACAAGCCAGUUUACCCAAUUGUCUUUAAAGUAUUCUAAAACAAGAUCUUGUAGAAACGAGGAAGAAGCAGGACAUCCUUUAGCCUGAGCAAUGAACUCCAAUUUGACAAGGUUCAGGGGGACAGGAGGUGAGAGAGAGUAUGUUCUAGCAGUAGAUUGAGUGUGGAGCUAAGACCACAGGAAAAGGCAUAAUCAAUGUCAGCAUGGCCUGGUGUAAUUCUGGCCAGUUUGGAUACACCUCCUCCACUCAUUUGCCCAUUCUCAAUUGCCUUAUGUAAGUCUUUCCUCCUCCACUUGCUCUGGACCUCUCUCCCAACAUGGCUUUUCUGGUGAACUUCAAAUACAUACCAAUGUAUAGACCAAAUGCAAGGAGAAAAACAAUGAUACAUUUGUGAAGUUUUUAGUCAUGAUAAUAACAUUACCACAACUAUCUUUUCCCAUGCAAUUUAUUUCAUAUGAGUCAGAAAUGUUCAGCACAGCCAUACCAGUCCCUGUAGUAUCCUGAUGAGCAUUACAGUAGGCCUAAUAGGUGGUAUAAAGGUGUUCUGACCUUUAUUUUGAAGUGCAUUUUCCCUGUUGGAAUAGAUCAAUAGCUGAGCUGUCGGUCACUUUUGCUUGCUUUCCGUUCUCACAGCAAGAACAUUCUCCAGGCAGCAAUCAAUAGCUGUAAUCUGUUCCAGCCUGUAAUGACAUGUGAAGCUUUUAGAGUGGCAUUACCAUUGGAUUUUUCUCUGUGUCUGCUGUUUCCAAAGAAUUACCACGUUUCAUAGGUAGCGUAAAGGACUUAGUAUACUUUGAAGAUAGGCAAGCAAUUAUUAUUUGCAUACAUUGUAUGCAUUUGUUUUUACUGUUUUAGAUGCUGUUCCCUUUCAGACUUUGGAAUCAUAUGUACUUUGUAGAUUUAAAGCUAUAUACUUUAUUCUUUAUGUUUUGGUUUUUCUUCCAGGGCUCUGUGACUCACAAAAUUGGGUUAUAGCUAUGCAAGAUUUCUUAGCAGACACCCCACCCACUUUUCCCAGUAAAUAUGUCUGGCAUCAUUCAUACCCAAACUUCAAGUCUUUUUUUUUGUUCCUUUUUUUAACCAAUAGCAAUGUGUUCUGUAACCUCCCACUCAGCUAUUAUUUGUUUGUUUUUAUAAGUAGUUAGCAGUAGUUAGUGUUUUCAUCCUCCCUGCUUUUCAUCCUCAGCUGACUGCAUUUUUCUUCAUCAUUCACCUUGGGGCUGGCUGAAUGGCUAAGAUCAAUCUCAAUCUCUGAUUUCAAAUAAGUUCCUUCCAACAGAGGCAAUUUCUCCCAAUUUCCCCAUAGCUCUCAACCUCCCAAUACCACAUCCCCGUUUUAGCCUUGCACCAUCUCCCUGAGCUUUCAGCCAUUACAGCAGCACAUCUUCCACUCCAAGUGUUCGUAGUGUUCCCAUAUCUAAACAAGUGGUUACUAGUCUCCAGCUGUGUCACAUGCAUAUCAUUGUCUUUCUUCACAAAUUUGGGGUUUCAUCAUAAAUCACAGCACUUCAAUCCUGGAAUUAAUGUACACUCUCCACUACACAGGAACCUUCCUCAACUUCACUGUCAGCCAUGCCUACCUUCUGGAACACGCAUGUAACCUCAUUAGCUCAUCUUCAAAUGCGACCUUUGAAUAUAAUUUCCCAUGUUUUUAGGCUACUUGGAGUCCUUUUUUCCUGUGUAUUAUAAUAUACUUUGAUCUGCUGAAUCCUCAUCCAAAUCUGUUUACAUCCUAGUGAAACAAUUAAGUGCUAAAUCUUAAACGAGAUAACUCAUGUGAAAUACAUAAUAGCAUAAACUUACAUUGGAGCCACACUUAAACUAGUUUUAACGGUAUGCCUCAAAGAUCUUUGGAAACCUAAGAUGACAAAUUAACAUAUUGUGUCCUGAAACCAAAUUGUUAUCACAGAGUGUUGUGUGACACAACUUGGUAUACAACUUAGCUUUCCACUGUGAUGCUGGAAAAAAAAUGGAAAUUUAAAAUCCAAAAUGGAUGCCAGAAUGACUACAACUAAAUCAGUUCUACUGUGUUUGUGUGAAUUUGUUUGUCUUUCAGAGCAUUUAUACUCUUUGGCCAGCAAGGCUCACAGAGUAGCUUUUGGAUCAAUACAGUCCCUGGCUUCAGGCUUACAAUAAAAAACAGCAUAAAAAUGUUUAAACAAAACAGUAUUUUCACAUUUACAUCUACAAAAAUAGCCUCUGAAAUUACCUUAGAACAAUUUUUUCUGACUUCCAUUUGUUCUGGAAUCUGGAAUGUUGAUGCUGAAGUAAAAUAAUAAAAUUUCACAAUCAUUUUAAAGACCUUAAACAGUUUUUAUUUCCCUGAAGCUCUGACAGAAUCUACCCUGCUCAAAAGAAAACAAAAUCUAGACAUGUAUUAUGGUGCACAAGCAGUGGCUGCAAACAAAUCAGUACUAUACUCUAAGAAAGAUAUUAUUUACACUUAUACAUAUCUUCCGUUUUUUAGACAAAAUUUUAAUUAUUUGGAUAUUGUGUACCUCUCAGCAUAGCGAUUCAUUGUACAAUAUUUUACAAACAUUGAGCAUAAUGUCUCCAUUUUAUUAUGAAUAGUAUUCAGAUGCUAUGACUAGUUUAAAUGAAUGUGGUAGAAAAGUCCACACUUAAGGAAUUACUUAUGAUAACCAAGGAUUUAAUAAUAUGUAAUUGUAAUAUUCAGAAGCUGUUCUGGAAAAGUUAGAACCGUCUUCUGAGAAAAGACCUUUCCUCACACAAUAGAUAUUGCAUUUCUUUGUUACUGAUCAGGGAAAAUGAAUGAUUCUUUAUUUAUUUAUUCAUUAAUUUACUCUGGACAAAAUACUGCAUGCAAAUCUCAACUUUACAACUCCUAUUAUCUUUUCAUCGGGCCAUCUGCAAAUCACUACCAGACAUAAGCUUUUCCCAAUUGUGCAGUCCCUCUCAUUCCAAUUGUAACUCUCUUAUCUAUUUCAAUAAGUCAGUCCACCUCUGGUGCCUUUUUCUACUAUCCUCUUUACUGUUUCUUUUAUCUUUGUUGUCUCUAUGUCUCUCUCUUAGAUUAGAAUUCAUCUAAAUACUAUUGUCUAAAUUUUGCACGUAGCUCCCAAUUUGUCACUUGACAUGAACAUUAACAUUAAUUUUGUGUGCCUGUCUUCAAGUUGCUUGUUGACUUAUGAUGACACUAUGAGUUUUAUAGGGGUUUUUUAAAGACAAACCCUUUGUGUAAUUAGAAUGGGGUAGCUUGUAUAAGAGAAAGUCUUGCUCAUCUUAUCUUAAGCACCCAUCCUUUUUUUACUCCUUUGGGAACUAAGAUUUCUCAAGUAGGCCAAGCAAGAUAAUUGCAGCAGCAGAAGGCAGAGUCCACGUCAGACAGAUUGCUAGGACCCAUGCAAAUAGGGAAGGGGGUGUGGGCUAAGGGCUGUUAUCUUCACAAUUGAUAUACUUUCCCCUCAUUCUGUACCCAUGUUGGGAGAAUGGAAUGCUUUGGAACUAGAAGAUUCAAACAUUUUCUAAUUGAUCCAUAACAAGAAUUUACUCUUUCUUUCUUGCAUCUCAACCAGGAUAUCAGUGAUACAGGAACAAGAGCAGAGGGAUUCUGUGCCCCCACCAUGUGUGUAUGUGCGUUUACGCAUGCAUGUGCACAAAUGAGAUCCACUGGCCUGGCACCCAUAAUAAAGAUAAGUUUUUUUUUGAAGUUUGUAUACUUCAGUAAAGGACUUAUUAAGGAAAGAAACAAGGAGCCAGUGGUGCAGAGGGUUAAACCGCGGAGCUGCUGAAUUUGCUGACAAAAAGGUCAGCAGUUCGAAUCUGGGGAGCGGCAUGAGCUCCCACUGUUAGCCCCAGUUUCUGCCAACCUAGCAGUUCGAAAACAUGCAAAUGUGAGUAGAUCAGUUAGUAUCUAUCCGGCGAGAAGGUAAUGGCACUACAUGCAGUCAUGCCGGCCACAUGACCUUGGAGUUGUCUACGGACAACACCAGCUCUACGGCAUGGAAAUGGAGAUGAGCACCAGCCCCCAGAGUCAGACACAACUAGACUUAAUGUCAGGAGAAAACCUUUACCUUUACCUAAGGAAAAAAAAUCAAACCCACAUAUUUUGUUAAAAAGAUAAGCCAAGAUUUAAUGUACCUAGGAUAAAAUAGGCAGAUGUUUAGAUUGCUAAAUGUUAUCAGAAAAUAUACUGUGUCUGUGCCACUGCUAAACUAGCCUUGUGUUUAAUAACUCACCUGGCAAUUCAAAAAAAAAUUGUGUCUCCAUUUUCAUCCACCAGCCUCUGGUUUCCAGACGAAAUGUAAAGGACAAAUUCAUUCCUCUGCAAACAGCACAGCAACACAGAGACUGUUGAGAGGUGAUGGAUAACUCUAUUUGCUUGUUUGUUAGUAGCCAUAGAUUAGUAUGGGGUGUCUAUUAGUGUUACCAGCAUGUUGUAAAGCUGAUUUGAACCCCAAACCACAUAGCUACUAGUGCUGCAGGCAAGGAGAUGGCUUUGAUUGCAUCCUAGAUAAAAUGCCUCCUUUGAAUUCUCGUGAUCCACCUACAAUUGGAAUAUGGACUUACUUGGUUGCCUACUGGAAACACCAUUUGGGUGAAGGAUUUGGUUCUGGAACAGCCUCUUGGGUUUGGGGGCCUGGAACCUGGGAAGGACCCUUUCUUUGAGGUUGGCAUGAGAGAAUUUGCUCUCCCUUUUUAGUUCUGGGGCUUGCGGGAAGCAGGGUCCCUAGAUCUGCCUUCCAAAAUAUGACUGACUGGAGUGGGAAACCGAUAAGACUGGAUUUCCAUCGUGGUCAGGUGUUUUCACCCAAGAGAGGACUGGGGGUGUCACAGGUAGACACCUACCCAUUUAAUCCCCAAGCAGGUUGCUCCGCCUUUCUAGCACAUUUUCUAGGAUUUAAUCUUAAUUAGUUAAUUGAUAAAAUAAAUGGCACAUCAGAGCAGUGAGUUCAAAUUACAGGAAAGGAGAUUCCAUGUAAACAUUAGGAAGAACUUCCUGACUGUAAGACCUGUUCAGCAGUGGAAUUCUCUGUCUCAGAGUCUGAUGGAAACUGUUUCCUUGAAAGCUUUUAAACAGAGGCUGGAUGGCCAUCUGUUGGGGGUACUUUGAUUGUUCUUUUCUGGCAUAGCAGGGGGUUGGACUAUAUGGCCCAUGUGAUCUCUUCUAACUGUAUGAUUCUAUGUGUUUGGCCUCAUUAUUUCAGAAUUGGUCAUGGAUAGCAUAUAGUAUCUUGUCAACAGGCUAGUAAAAUUAUCUAGUAAGAUUCAUGGGGAUAUGAAUCCCUAUGAAUCUUACUAGUCUUUGUUAUAUAAAACUACAUAAAUUUACAAUGCAGUCUUAAUUAUUUACUUCUAUGUGAGUAAAUCAUGAGUAGUUAUGUUCACAAUUUUAUUUGCUUUUGCAUAAAAACAUAUUUGCAUGACCUAGCUAAAAUAAUUAAAAUUGUCGUAAUGCUGAAAAAAACAAAACACAGACCUGCUUUAGCUUAAGAUUUAGGUAAAGCUUUUAGUGACUCAAGAAUGUGCUAUCUUACUUAUUAGGAAAUGAAAGGAAGAAAAGAUAAAAAUGCCCUAGAUAAGAAAAAUCCCAGGGUUCUUAAUCAAUAUUUUCUCAUUUUGUGUGUAUGAACUAAUGCAAGAAUCGGUAUUUAUUAUUUCAAAAAGAAAAAAAAGGGUCCAAAUGUUGGGCUGCAUGAUUUGGUAAAACAAAGUGAAUUUGAUUUUCCCCCUUUGAGACUUGCAUUGUGGUUGAGCUCACACAUUCUCAUUAACAUUCUAGCUCUGUAUUGCCAUUGCUUCUUCCUAGCUUACCAGCUGUUCCUGCUGCUAGUUACAAUGUCUGAUGUGUUCAGAUCACUGGGUUCCUGUACUCACCACAGAGAAGAGACAGUCUUUCCAUUGGGGAUAUCCACGUGUCUGCCUGUCAGCAAUGGCACCGAAUAUAGUAAUAGGUCCUCGCAUGGCAUAUGGUGUCUGGGUUCAUACAAGAUGCAAAACUAUUCUGCCACUAAUGCACAAUGACUCAUAGCAUUGCUAAUUUUUCUAACAAAAGCCCACUUCCACACCCACACUUUUAACCCCUCAGGCUAAAAAGCUUCAGACACUUAUGUUUCUUAUAUUUCGAGGGAGAUAAUGUCAUGGACCGCAUGUGAAAUACAAGUGUGUAGGAAAGAUGAUGUGAUUAAUGUAGUGGAUGGAUGUAACAAAAAGUGUGUUCAAUUUUUUUUAAUGUGAAGUGAUAUUCACAUGUGAAAGAUUGACUGUUAACUGGUAUUGUUCCAAAACCAAGUCCAACCCAUAUUUUCUCCAAAAAAAAUUUUCUCAAAAUAAUUCUGAAAUGAGCAUGAUAAGCUUUUAGUUUGGCAUGUUACUAGCUUUUAAAUAUCAGCAGUUUUAGCUGCAUAUACUUGAUGUCUGGAAAUUUCUUGAGAGGUAAAAAUCCUAUCUGUACUUUCAGAGAUAUUAUAUAAAAUUAUAUUCGUUUCUUUGAUGAAGGAGAUGCUCUCCAAUUCCAAGUGCAGAAUUAAAGGACAGGCAAAGUGUUUUGAAGAAGAGGAAGUUAAAAAGCAACUGAUACUUCGUGUGAUAAUGACAGAUCUCUUUUCAUUAUAUAAUACUACUGUGCCCGGCCACGCGUUGCUGUGGCGUUGGUGAGAAAUUGUUGAGGUAGUGGUGGUAUUGAAUGUCUGUUGUAUGGUUGUUUUUAUGUUUAGUAUGCACACUGAAGUGGAUUAUAUGGCAGUGUGGAGUCAAGAUAAUCCAGUUCAAAGCAGAUAAUAUAAGAUUCUAAACAGGUUAUAUAGCUGUGUGGAAGGGCCUUGAGUCUACAUUGCCAUAUAAUCCAGUUAAAAUCUGAUAAUCUGUGGAAGAGGUCUAAGUGAGACCUAACUGUGCCUGUCCCCUGGGCUGAGUAGGUUGCUAGGAGACCAAGUGGGUGGAGCUUAGCCUUGUAACUGGCAGCAAUUGGAUAAAAACUAUUAUUCCUCUCCCUGUAAUUAGGACUUUAUUUUUCUUUUCCUUUUUGUUGUAUCAACCUAGAGCCGUGAAUGAUGGGUUGUGUUGUCAAAUUUCGAGGUUGGGGGGCCUGUAGUUUUGUUGUUUUGUCCACUGCCCUGAUGCCAUCACUCUUUUAUAUAUAUAGAUACUGCUCUUGUAAUGCUCGUUAUGUUUUCAGACUCAGAAGGUCUGAAAAAAAGAUUUAAUUCAUGUAAGGCAGGACUAAAGUCAUUUUUGCAAAUAUCUGAGGGACCAUUCAUCUAUAUAAAGAAAAAUGUAAUGUCCUUUUGUGCGGACGUCAUGUUUCCCAAACUACUUCAUCAAUUGCUACAAAAUUUGGACACAAAGUAGCAUUCGAACUGACAAGUGUUUUACUAUCACAAACCUGUCACAUCUGAGACAGGUAAAACCAUGCCCCUUAGCAAUGGCUAAUCAGUCUCCUCUUCCCUUAGCAACCAUCGCAGCAGACAGCUCCUCCCCUUAGCAAUGCUGCUAGCAACAGCCCAGCAGACUCCUCCCUUUAGCAACUGGCAUGGGCAGGGCUGCAAGGGAUGACUAGGCCCGCCUCCUUGCCACUCAGUUCAGCUUGGCGAGUUACGUGAAGCCAAGGCUCUGUGGCCUAGCCACGGAAAAGAGGGAUACUGAGAGUGAAAAUCCUUUUUGUGGGCCCCAGCGAGGCUUCCAUACCUCACAACCUCUGAGGAUGCCUGCCAUAGAGGUGGGCGAAACGUCAAGUGAGAAUACUUCUGGAACAUGGCCACACAGCCCGAAAGACAUACAACAACCCUUUCUAGUUUAAAUAAAGCCAUUGCUUUUCUUCUGUUUUCUGUAGUAUUUGCUUCAACUUUAAAGUCAUUUUUAAAUUAUUAAUAAUAAUCUGUAGUACUGAAUAUAAUGACUGUAACAACUUUUUCCCGUGGUUACACAAUUGUUUUCAUUUGUAACUUUGAAGUCAAAAUUCAGUUUGGAAACCAGCCCUUUUCAUAAUUAGUUUGGUACUGGAGAUGAAACUGACUACAUCAGUUUCAGUAACAUGUAUAUUUAAUUACCAGAAAGAUAUUAAUGAUCGCAGUACUUUGAAUCAUGUGGUUUUAACAUUGUAUAGGAGCAAAUGAGAUAGUUUUUUUAUAUAUUGUCUCAGUUAAAUAUGCUUGCAUGUGGGGCUGAUCAGGGUAAAUUGUAGGGCUGAUAAGGAAAUGUUAUGUAUAUAUUCAGUUUUAUUGUAUUUAUUUACUGUAUUGUUAUAAGUGUCUUAUUUUAAUUUACGACAUAGAGUAUAAUCGAGUCCUAUCAAGCCUUGUUGUUUGGUUUGGUAUCGUGAUAUAACUUAAGGGCUAAUCAAUAAAAUGUAUUGCUUGGA